UAGGGAAUCUUCGGCAAUGGGGGCAACCCUGACCGAGCAACGCCGCGUGAGUGAAGAAGGUUUUCGGAUCGUAAAGCUCUGUUGUAAGUCAAGAACGGGUGUGAGAGUGGAAAGUUCACACUGUGACGGUAGCUUACCAGAAAGGGACGGCUAACUACGUGCCAGCAGCCGCGGUAAUACGUAGGUCCCGAGCGUUGUCCGGAUUUAUUGGGCGUAAAGCGAGCGCAGGCGGUUUGAUAAGUCUGAAGUUAAAGGCUGUGGCUCAACCAUAGUUCGCUUUGGAAACUGUCAAACUUGAGUGCAGAAGGGGAGAGUGGAAUUCCAUGUGUAGCGGUGAAAUGCGUAGAUAUAUGGAGGAACACCGGUGGCGAAAGCGGCUCUCUGGUCUGUAACUGACGCUGAGGCUCGAAAGCGUGGGGAGCGAACAGGAUUAGAUACCCUGGUAGUCCACGCCGUAAACGAUGAGUGCUAGGUGUUGGAUCCUUUCCGGGAUUCAGUGCCGCAGCUAACGCAUUAAGCACUCCGCCUGGGGAGUACGACCGCAAGGUUGAAACUC
rnacentral:rRNA from 1 species